rnacentral:rRNA from 1 species
GGCGGGCGGCUUACACAUGCAAGUCGAGCGGGGGAGGUUGCUUCGGUAACUGACCUAGCGGCGGACGGGUGAGUAAUACUUAGGAAUCUGCCUAUUAAUGGGGGACAACAUCUCGAAAGGGAUGCUAAUACCGCAUACGCCCUACGGGGGAAAGCAGGGGAUCACUUGUGACCUUGCGUUAAUAGAUGAGCCUAAGUCGGAUUAGCUAGUUGGUGGGGUAAAGGCCUACCAAGGCGACGAUCUGUAGCGGGUCUGAGAGGAUGAUCCGCCACACUGGGACUGAGACACGGCCCAGACUCCUACGGGAGGCAGCAGUGGGGAAUAUUGGACAAUGGGGGGAACCCUGAUCCAGCCAUGCCGCGUGUGUGAAGAAGGCCUUAUGGUUGUAAAGCACUUUAAGCGAGGAGGAGGCUCUCUUGGUUAAUACCCAAGAUGAGUGGACGUUACUCGCAGAAUAAGCACCGGCUAACUCUGUGCCAGCAGCCGCGGUAAUACAGAGGGUGCGAGCGUUAAUCGGAUUUACUGGGCGUAAAGCGUGCGUAGGCGGCUUUUUAAGUCGGAUGUGAAAUCCCCGAGCUUAACUUGGGAAUUGCAUUCGAUACUGGGAAGCUAGAGUAUGGGAGAGGAUGGUAGAAUUCCAGGUGUAGCGGUGAAAUGCGUAGAGAUCUGGAGGAAUACCGAUGGCGAAGGCAGCCAUCUGGCCUAAUACUGACGCUGAGGUACGAAAGCAUGGGGAGCAAACAGGAUUAGAUACCCUGGUAGUCCAUGCCGUAAACGAUGUCUACUAGCCGUUGGGGCCUUUGAGGCUUUAGUGGCGCAGCUAACGCGAUAAGUAGACCGCCUGGGGAGUACGGUCGCAAGACUAAAACUCAAAUGAAUUGACGGGGGCCCGCACAAGCGGUGGAGCAUGUGGUUUAAUUCGAUGCAACGCGAAGAACCUUACC